AUUGAACGCUGGCGGCAGGCCUAACACAUGCAAGUCGAGCGGAUGAAGGGAGCUUGCUCCUGGAUUCAGCGGCGGACGGGUGAGUAAUGCCUAGGAAUCUGCCUGGUAGUGGGGGAUAACGUCCGGAAACGGGCGCUAAUACCGCAUACGUCCUGAGGGAGAAAGUGGGGGAUCUUCGGACCUCACGCUAUCAGAUGAGCCUAGGUCGGAUUAGCUGGUUGGUGGGGUAAAGGCCUACCAAGGCGACGAUCCGUAACUGGUCUGAGAGGGUGGUCAGUCACACUGGAACUUGGACACGGUCCAGACGCCUACGGGAGGGCGCAGUGGGGAAUGUUGGACAAUGGGCGGGAGCCUGAUACAGCCAUGGCGCGUGUGUGACGAAAGCCCUCGGAUUGUAAAGCACUUUAAGUUGGGAGGAAGGGCAGUAAGUUAAUACCUUGCUGUUUUGACGUUACCAACAGAAUAAGCACCGGCUAACUUCGCG
rnacentral:rRNA from 1 species